GGUACUAUGCCAGCUUAGGGGAAGGGGUGGCACAGUGUUAAAUGACUGUUCAUCCUACCUGUCAUGGCUUCUCUCAAUUCUGUGUGCCUUGGUGGUUUCUCUGCUUCCCCUCUGAGUUCUGGUAUAUUCAUGGUGGUAUUCUUGUCAUUGAAUGGUUUCUAAUUGUAUUUUUGUCAGGGACGUGAUGCUGGGGGAUUGUCUGUUCCACCAUCUUGCUAAUAUCACUCUGAAACUCUAUUUUUGAAUAAUUUUAGAUCUAUAGAAAAGUAGCAGAAAUAAUACAGAGUUAUUUGAUUUUUCACUCAGUAUCCCCAAAUGUUAACAUAGCACCGUGGUAUAGUUAUCAAACCAAGGAACCAAUAUUGGGAAAUUACUAUUCAUGAAACUUCACUCUUUUUUUUUGAUUUUACCAGUUUUUCCACUGAUGUCUGUCCCAAGGUCUAAUUGAGGAUCCCACAGUGCAUGUAUUUCAACAGGCUUUUAGUAAAUAUUGGGAUUCCAGGCUUUGUCUCUGGCUAGAUAUGAGAGUACAAAUCCUCUGUGCCCCUCCACCUCCCCAGACAGUCAUGCUGUACAAUCUUGGGACAUAGGGUAAAGUGAAGGGCCUCUUCGGGCAGGCAGGUAAGUCAUCAGGCCACUCCAUGGGCCCUGGGAGACCAUCAGCACACAGUUGGGCCCUUCCUCAGCAAGCAGCUCUGUGUUCUCAGCAGUAUGAGUAAGCAUUGAGGCCUCAAUAGUUGGCAAAAAGCAGAUCUUCCUGUGGGAAAAAUACUUUGAAUAAGGAAGAAAAAGGAGAUUUGUAUUAUAUAAGUUUGGCUGUCUCUAAUUUAAAGAAAGUUAAACUUUAUUGCACAACGACUACUAGUUCUUUCUUCUUCUUCUUCCUUCUCCUCCUCUUCCUUCUCCUUUUUCUGUCUCCUCCUACUUCUCCUUGUCCUUUUUCUCCUCCUCCUCCUCCUUCCCUUCUCCUCCUCCUCCUCUUUCUCCUUCCCUUCUCCUCCUUCUCCUCCUUCCUCUAUCUUUUUCUCCUCCUCCUUCUUCUCUUUCCUUUCUCCUUCUUCUCCUCCUCCUUCUCCCCCCCUUCUCUUUCUCCUCCUCCUUCUCCUUCUUUCUUCUCCUUCUUUUCUUCUCCUCCUCCUCCUUUUCUCCUCUCCUCCUCCUUUUUUCUUCUCCUUCUUCUCCUCCUCCUUCUCUUCCUUCUCAUUCUUCCCCUUCUUCUUUUCCUUCGUUUCCUCCCCCCCUCCACCUCCUCUCAAAUUUAGUUUUCCACGGAAUCCCCCAUCCUUUGGAAAUUUUUUUUUUGCUUAGUAUCUGUUCAUUUCUUCCAGAAUCAUAGUUUGGAAUUAAUGGACACAUAGUAGUUAAUCAGAUGAUAGAGAUUAAAGUGAAGGGAGGCAUACACUGGAAUAGCAAAAUAUGUUUGCAGUGAAACCCAAUGAAUAGAAUACUUCAUGUUAGGGUGAAGUAUUGGAGGAAAAACAAAUACUUUCAUUAAAAUCAAAGCUACUCUUCAGAAUUUCAUUAUUUUCUUUUAAUGAGAAAUGUAUGUGUUGGUCGUCUUGUCGUCUUUGACUCUUAAAAUGUAACCAAGCAAAUUUUAAACUACAUCUCUAAAGUGCCUAAGUGUGAUGCCUACGUUACCUUUAACUUAACUUCGUUAGUGGCAGAGGUUCCAUGAGUUAUGAGUACUCUGCUCUGUGAAUGUCUCCAUUUUUGAGGUGCCUUUGUGGAGUAUUGAUAGGGACCAUUCCUGGGCUCCACUUACAGACUUCUGUUGGGGAAUAGGAUCUCACAAAGCAGAACAGGAGUUUGUGAUAAGGAAGAGGACAAAGAGAGCAGGUCCUUGUGUUCUUCAAAAACGGUGAACAUUAUCCUACUGAUUUUGGACCAAGGGAGUUCUCCAGUGGGAAGUGACACAGAACCUACCACAGUGCCUUCCAAUCCAGGUUUUUGGUAAUGAGUGAUGAAUGAAUCCCAUGAGAGCAGAGCCCCGUGGAGCGGGUGGCAAAUGUUGCUCUCUGACUACAGUUCUCUCCUUAGGGAUGCUAACACAGACUGCCUCAGAUGCAGGCAGGGCUGCUUGUCCACACUGAUCAGGCAUGGAUUUGCAUUAACAUCUGUAGUGCCCUUUACUUGUGCAGUGAGAUACUGGGAUAUACAACAGAAUAGGUGCUGGAAGAGGCAUCCACUACAGUGUGGGCAGACUCUUUGGAUCUGUAUUAAUAACAGCCUCUCCCGUGGAUUAGCUAGUCCAGGCUUUGGUGCUUUAUUUCCUCCCAAAAUAAUGGAGUGUGUACUCCUUAGUUAUGUGUAGCACCAAGAAAAUUAAUCCAGAUGUCAUCUUUUUUGUUUCCCCCUCCAGCGUGGCUGGAUACUUGGCAGGGCACAGAAUCACAUGGUCUUCAGAUCUUCUAAAAGCUGAUUUUCCUGGGCCUAAUCCCAUGAGAGUUGGAGACAGUCUAUGAUAAUUACUGAUUCAGCUCCUGCUGGUGUUGAACUUACUGAGAAACUUAAACAAGAAUUAAAAUACACACCCACACACCCUCAGAUGGAGCCAAACACUAAACCAGAUUAGUCUUUCGUGGUCACCUUUUCUUCAGGAUUAGGAGGAUCAGAAAGCAAGAGCAGAUUCUGAAACACUGUAACCCCAUUCCCUACUGGGUCAUAAGAGGCUGGUGCUCUUGAGGACGAAGGUCGGCAGCAGGUGCCAACUAGGUACUGGCUUCUGGUCCCAGCAGAGCUGGCCUGCCACAGCCCAAGCGUCUUGUUUUGGUUAAAAAAUGAGUCUCUUGGCCUUUCAUGCCUGGGCGUUCUCCGGAACUCAGAUGUUUGUGAACCAGGUUCAGGGACUCUCAAGUUCAAGUCACUGGCAGAUUGGAGAAAAGACCUAGAAGUUCUAAGUGUCUGAGGUAAUGAGAGGAGGGACGCAAAGCCUCAUUCAAUGAGACUGCAAAGUCACCUGAAUGGGAAAGCUUGCCCUAUUGCUGGCCUCGGCAAUGGCACCUUCAGGUUGUCCCCUGUACGGGUUGAUGAGGGAGUGGAGGACCCCAGGUCCCUUCUUAAUGUCAGCCUUGGCCACAGGUUUCGAUGAAAUUUAGUAUGUUGAUUAGGAGCUGCCAAAAUCAGAGCAACUCCCCUCCCAAGGGGACGUUUAGUUUUCAGUUGUUAAAAAUACACCCUGAGACAGAAAUUUUGGGACACUUAAGUGACUUUGAAAUCCAUCCAAAGGUUACUCUGUUCCUUCACUCCACACAGCUCAGGCAUUUCCAUGUUGGUCUCAGCUGCCAUCUCAAUGGUUUAUUCUUUUUACAUGUUGGAGCAGAUCUGGACCUCCCAAAAUGUUUUGAGGAGAAGUGGGCUUAGAGGGGUUUUCCCUGCUCUGUGAGAGAAGGAAUUUAGCAAGGAUUAAUUUUUCUAAGAAGGUGGCACAAGUUUUGAUGUGAUUUGCUGGAAAAUAGUAAUAGUCACAAUUUAUCUUAUUCCCCCAAGAGAAUGGGAUGAUGUUCCCAUGGAACCUUGCUCAUCCUGCUAGCAAUAACUUGUAUUCUCUUUCUGAUUCACACAAACAAGGAUCAGAGGGUGAUGGUGGGGGAAAUGAUACCAGGAAAUACAGUUCGUUUUUUGCAGGGAUUCAGAAUGUGUUGCUGGACUUCAAGAUAGGAAGAAUCUUUGCCUUGAUGGCUGAUGACAGUAACCACCCCAUCUACCAUCAUCUAUUAAGGAUUUACUGUGUGGUCACUUUACAGUCAUCCAAGUAAAUUUUCAUAAUCACCUGAUUACAUGGGUACCGCUUUUCAGAAAAAGAAACAGAUUUCUGGAGGGUAAGUAACCCAAAUCGUACAGCUGAGCCAUCUGUCUGCAUCUCAAGCAUUGAGGCAGCAUUCGGCCUCCGAGGGUGUUGUCAAAUGUGCUGGUCUCUGUUAACUCAGGGUUUUGGAUUAAUGGGUGGAGCUGCUCAUUUUCACAAACACCCAGGAUGCAGUCUGCACCCUCUAUUUAAAGUGAGGUCCCUGGACGAGCAACACGGCAGCACCUGGCUGCUUGUCAGCAAUGCAGAACAUCAGGCACUCCCUGGAGCUACAGCACAAGAUCCCCAGGCAGGCGCAUGUGCAUCCAAGUUUGAGCCGCACUGCUUUCUGCCACUACGGAGGAAUGUAUCCUUUACUCUCUUCCUCCCCUUCGUCUCAUCUUGUUUGGUAAUUUUAAAUUAUUUAAAAGUUAUAGAAAAUCAUAGUGCCUCAAAAUGGCUUACCAAGAAAUACUCAAAGCUGUAGGAUCAGAAGCUUGACAUGAAGAUUUCUGUGCAUCUUUGAAUUGCUUUACAGAAAUUAAAGAAAAAUCCAGACAUCUAAAAGAUUAUAAUUUCAGAAUUCAUAGUAACAUGGGGAUCUUCUUGGUGUCAGAACUGAGUUCUUGCUGAGGUUUGCAUUGGGCCCUGUCUCCGGGCAGCUGCAGCAUAACACGGAGUCACCCUUGCUGUCUAAGCCUUGUGGCUGGAGGGGAAGAGUGAGGACCAAGCUGUCAACAAUCCCAGACCUGCCAAGCCCCAUUUGUCUGUGUGCCUGCCAGGAUUCUAAGACUGCAUUUGGGAAUUUUGACUUUUACUGAAUGUGAAAUUCUGUGUAUAUAUAGCCUUGGUGAGCUGACCCAGUCAGGGAUGACUCUGAUGUACUUUUGUCUUACAGGAUUCAGAAUCCAUGGCUGGAAGAGGUAGUAAGGCCAUUGGGAGGGCAUGCCUCUCCUCAGCCCACCCCCACCCUGUGUGGGUCUCCAUUCUGAAAUUUCCAUUCAGAUGACCCGGUCCUAGGCAGGGACCAAAAUUCCUUGUCAGCUGAGGAAGUCCUGAAGAAACAUCCUGAAGAUGAUGACUGCACUGCCAUCGUGGGCAGAUGCAGCUUCCAUCUACCUGAGGGCUGAAGGGGAAAACCUUUCACACACGUGAGGAAGGCGCAGCUCUGUGGAAAGGUCACUAGAAUGGCAGCGGCAGCAAAUAGGGCUCCAAUGCACGUUUGCAGUUAACUGGGUCCAAGGAGAGCAUGGCCCUCCACAGCAAGUUUGCUCUAUAGAAUAAAGUCCUGAGCUUGUUUUUAUCACAGUUAGACAGAGAAUGGUCUCUUGUUUCUCAGUUAUCCAGGGAAGAACAGUGUAUAUUCUCUGUAGAUGAGUGUUGUCUAAUGUAGUGAUUAAUCUCUGCUAGUGUUAGGAAAGCUCCACUACUGUGUGUGUGUGUGCGUGCAUGCGCGUGCGCAUGUGCACAUACUGCAGUCUUGACUUUCCAAUUACAAAAUGCCUAAGUCAGGUCACAUUGUCUUCUUCCAGCCAGUUUCUAAGGCAGGCAAUGGAAACAGGAGCCGAUGCCAAAUGGUCUAGAGGCAGAAGGGCUGCAUGCUUUGCAGGGCCAGCCCCAAGGCUGCCUUCCAGAGCUGCACUUUCUCUGGGGACAGUAAACUCUCACCGCAGCUGCCAGCCCCCUGUGCUUGGCCAUGCCCCUCACAUGGACUUGGAAUCAGUGUCUCUCUUGCUGAUGAGCACCUCCAGGAGCCUCAGUUUCGCCUUUAUGUGCUUAUAUUCACUGUAUUCUUCAGCCAUAGGAGUGCGGUCUUCCUUCUGGACAUUUCUAAUGCAAAUAAAGGAAAAAGGGGUCUGAGGAUCAUUUUCUGUCUUUGCUAGAUACUAUUCAUCGGGCAAAUUAUCAUUGUUUAGAAACUUUGCAGUUUAUCAACUUGUAGAAUCAGUGUUGCCGAGUGGCCCUUGGUCUCAAGACUGGGGCUGGAUUUAGACAAGUAAUGAAAAUGUUUCACCCAGAAGGCAACAUGCAACUGAGUUUUUAUAUAGUUAAUCUGGCAUCCUGUAUGAUAAGAAGGCUAAGAAAUGCAGAAAUUCUCUCUGCUAAGUAUGAAUUCACAUUGAGCUCUCAUACACCAAAAUCUUUUAUUCAUACUUAAUGUUUUCUCAUUCUUAUAUAUUUCAUCUCGUGAAAUUUUAAAUUUUUAAUUAGCAACUGGUCCACAACUUAGUUUUUUUUUUUUUUUUUUUUUCCAAAAACAGAUAGUUAAUACUCCUACUUAUCAUAAAACUGUGUUAGAAUUCAGCAGCUGGAUUACAUAAUACUAUUAUAAUAAGCCUUUAUUAUUGAGUAACUUUACAUACAUAAUAUUUAUAUGCACAAGUAUUUGAGAGCUUAUAGGUCAAGCCCUGUGCUAAGUACUUUGUACCCAUGAUCUGAUAGAACCCUUAUAACACCUUGAUGAGAUGCAGCCAUUUUCUACACACUACACAUGAUGAAACCAGCACAGGAAAUCAGAUAACUUGCCUGCUCUUGGCCACCACGCGGUGCGCUGCUGCUUUGUGUUUUAUGGGAAAUUGCACAUGGCAAACAUUCAACCAUAGGCUUCCUGCCUUUAUUAUUAAAGGGCAAAUAUGGGUAAGGAGGAUAGCAUGGGGCUUGAUUUGUUCAAUGACCUAAAAAUAAACUGAUCUUAUUCAUACCCUGCCUUGUUCUAGGAAAGGAUUCUAGUGGCUUCUCAGCAGAGGGCAGGGCAAGGAACAGGUGCUCAGGAAUUGGAGCAUCUGGCACGCAGGCCCCCACUGCACUCUGAGGGGCUUCACUCUCCUCAGACACGAAGUCAUGGAACCAGAGCUUAUCUCCUAAGUCCCUCAUAGUUCUAAACUUUUUUGACAAUUAAGUUAACGUCCUCCAUUGACAUUUUCUUAAAACCUGGGUGGUUUGCGUAAUUCUACAUGUAUAAGAUAUCUGUGCAUAAUGUGACUUAGAAUAAUAUAAAAAAGGAUAAGCCAAAAAAUAGGCUUAGAUGAAAGACUGGAAAGAUACACGUCAAAACAUUAAUUCUGACUUGUCUUUGGUUAUUAUUGUUUUGGGAAUUACUACUUAAAUUUGCUUACCUAUAUUUUCUAAAUACUGUGCAAUGGGUGGGAAAUGAAAAGCAAGUGUUUAGGUAUAAAAAUAUAUGAGACAUAUCCAAAUCAGAGAUCCUAAAAGUAAAUUCAUACAAUAAUUGUUAAACUAAACUGAAAUACAAUAUAUUUUAAAUGACA
rnacentral:lncRNA from 1 species